rnacentral:rRNA from 1 species
CCCUUAGAUGUUCUGGGCCGCACGCGCGCUACACUGAUGCAUUCAACGAGUUCUACCUUGGCCGAGAGGCCUGGGCAAUCUUUUGAACCUGCAUCGUGAUAGGGAUAGAUUAUUGCAAUUAUUAAUCUUGAACGAGGAAUUCCUAGUAAACGCAAGUCAUCAGCUUGCAUUGAUUACGUCCCUGCCCUUUGUACACACCGCCCGUCGCACCUACCGAUUGAAUGGUCCGGUGAAAUCUCGGGACGGCGGCUUGGUCGCUUGCGUCCGACUGCUGAAACUUGAUUAAACCAUAUCAUUUAGAGGAAGGUGAAGUCGUAACA